rnacentral:rRNA from 1 species
AUUGAACGCUGGCGGCAGGCUUAACACAUGCAAGUCGAGCGGAGAUGAGGUGCUUGCACCUUAUCUUAGCGGCGGACGGGUGAGUAAUGCUUAGGAAUCUGCCUAUUAGUGGGGGACAACAUUCCGAAAGGAAUGCUAAUACCGCAUACGUCCUACGGGAGAAAGCAGGGGAUCUUCGGACCUUGCGCUAAUAGAUGAGCCUAAGUCGGAUUAGCUAGUUGGGGGGGUAAAGGCCUACCAAGGCGACGAUCUGUAGCGGGUCUGAGUGGAUGAUCGGCCACACGGGGACUGAGACACGGCCCAGACGCCUACGGGAGGCAGCAGUGGGGAAUAUUGGACAAUGGGGGGAACCCUGAUCCAGCCAUGCCGCGUGUGUGAAGAAGGCCUUAUGGUUGUAAAGCACUUUAAGCGAGGAGGAGGCUACUGAGACUAAUACUCUUGGAUAGUGGACGUUACUCGCAGAAUAAGCACCGGCUAACUCUGUGCCAGCCGCCGCAGUAA